UGUUUACAAAAUUAGAUAAAACCCAUAUUGAUUUGAGACAAUUUGAGCAAGAAGCUAAUUAAUUGUGCAAGUGAUUAUAUGUUCCCUGUGUGAGUGGCAGGCUUUAUUUAGCAUUAUUAGAUUGAUGAAAUCAGUUGAAAUAGAUUAAUACCUUUGGCGAUGAGAUAUCGAUGCGGCCGCAGUUGUCCAGAAUCCAUGUCCGACUGUUUGCAGUUGGGGGCGAGCGAAAAUAAGAGACAAAACAACAAGAAAGGACAGAGGACGCACACCACACACCGGAGGGGAGACCCUGGGCAAAAAUAAACCCCAUGCUGUCUCCCCUCUGAACCAAAAAUCGUUAUUUUUUUAUUGAGAUAUUUUUUUGACCUGCCAUGCAAGCGCACCUGCCAUGGCAAAGGCCGGAUGACAAAGAUCGGUCCAGCACUCGGCCCUUCCACCGAGCCUUUCGUCCCGAUAUCUUAUACAUCCAUCCGAAAUCAACCCAUAACCCCAACCCAAAUCCCACGAUAUAAAAGCUUCAGUCUCAUGAAAUUACAACCAUGAACCAUGACCCUUUGGUUAAGAUUAAACAUGCUUCGGCCACCACGAGAUCGAAUUGGAUCAGCUGCUGAAACGCCGCCGGAUACUUGUAAUCUCCUCCGAUUUGGUUAGAGCUCCGUCUGCGAAAUCUGUUUGGACGCCAAAACACACAUCAAUCAAAAUCUAUACGGAGCAGAAACACUAAAGCUAAAAUUCGUUGCAAAUUAAUAAAAUUUAAACAAAAAAGCAAAAACAAUAACGAUUUGAUACAAAAGUUCAUAUCCAGAUUAGUAAAACGAAUCGAAAACAUAUACGUACCUGUAAAUUCGAAUCGAAGAGCGACGAACACAGAAGCUCGGGCUGGUAAAACCAGCUGAAUUCAAAAGCAGCUCAAACCAUCACCUCACAAUCUCAAACCACCAUCAACACGUAGAUCUCCAUACGAUCGACGCGAAUCCGAUGGUGAUCGACAUAGAAAACAAUCCAUGGAGCGCAAAUCUGGAGAAGAACUCCUGAGGCGCAUGAAGUUGUGAGAGGCGAGAGAGAAUAUUUGGUGGCGUGAACCUUGAAUGGUUGAUAAGCAGGCACCCUAACGUACUUAUAAGAGGAUAAAAAUUGGGUAGACGGCUGCGAUUUCUUAAUUAUCAUCGUGAUCGACGGCUGGUGUUGAUCAUGUGGUUCGGUAGAUUUGGCGGUGGCGUAACCAUACACGUACCCUGAUGAGCUGGAGACAGAGAAAGCACACCCCAUUUUAUUGACCAUAUCAAACACGACAUGUAGUUUUUUUGGCCGCCUCGAUAGGUUGUUUGGUGGGAAUCGGAUUCAAUUUUUAUGCAAAUAUCUAUUUUGUCGAGAUAGAAUUCACGACCAUAUCUGGAUUCUAUCUUUAUUAGAAAGAUAAUACAAAUUAUGGUAUAAAUAAACUAUAAAAAUAACAUUUUUAUUUUAUUACUAUAAUUUUGGUUGGUUCUAGAUUAUUCGAUAUAUAUGGGCUAAUGGUUUCUUCAUUGUUGGGCCUUAAGAAUAUACAGAUAUUUUGAUAUAAGUACGCAUUAUUUUUUAAUUUUUUUAAUCAAAUAUCCAUGUCUUUUAGUAAUUUGAUUAAACUUUUUUUUGUCAUAAUAUUGGUGCUAUAUGCACAUUAUAUUGUAACAAAUUUCAUAUAAUCUAGCUUUUUGAUUACACUCUUCUUCGUUAGAGAUAAUUGUAAAAAUAAAAAAAAGUUGGUUAGAUUCAAUUUAUUUUCACAAUAAUGUUACAAUUUAGCAAUAAUUAUCUACGAUUUAAGAUAUUUUCUUUUCAAAAUAGUUUAAAUAUUUUUAAUCCCCAAAAAUCAAACAUACCGAAAUAAGUUUUUCUUUUAGUACAUUAAGAGAAAAUAGGAUUGAGAAUAAUAUAAACGUACCAAUAUAAAAAAUAAAAAUAAUGUACCAAUAUUAAUAAUAUGUAUCAAAUCAAACAUACAGAAAUUGCAAAUAAACAUAUCAAUUAAUGAUUUUUGUAAAUUCAAAUGUACCCUCAGAUAAUAUAUAUAUGUAAUGUAUCGUACCUAAUAAUAAUUCGUCAACAACUAUACUUAAAAAACAACCAAAAAUAUAUAUAUAAUUUCACAAAAAAAUUGAAAAAAUUACACGGAGCUUUUUAUGUUGAUCACCAACUAUUUGAAAAAGAAAAAACCAUUUGAAAAUUUAAAUAAUAUUAAAUGUUUGCAUAACAAAAAAAAAAUUGUGAUCGAAAAAACAUAUUUGGAAGAAGAAAAAAUAUAGUUUAAUUACUAAUAUUUCCACUAAAUAAGAAAAAGUGCAUCAUACAGAUAAAAUGAUAAAUUCAAAAAAUAUUUUAAUUUUAAAGAAUAGAGGUAACCAUUGGUCAAAGCACUUUAAUCAAAUUUUAAAAAGACAUAGAUGUUUAAUCCAAAUUAUAUAGAAAAACUAUAGGGAAUUCUAAUUUUCCCAAUAAUAUAUUGGGCCAUUGGUUUUUUGUCAAAGGAUAGAAUUGUAUUAAUAAUCAAAUACGAAUGGAAACAUUUGCAUCUUCAGCUAUAAUAUUAAACAAAAAUUGAGGUCCUAAUUCAUCCCAACCAUAGCGCCCACCAUGCUUAAGAACGUACGCCACCACCAUAUGGGUUGCAUGUCGAGGGGUAAAGAUAAACUUCACCAAUUGGAAUGACUGCAUAAUAUUCCAAAUAUCAACUAAAUAAACCUCCAUCAACACAUCAACUUGAAUCUCCUUAUUUAACAUUUGAACCAAUCCUUUUGAAUCAGACUCCACCUUCGGGUCGAAUUCAAGAAUUCAGCUUUGUAUUUUUAACUUUCGGUCUGAUGAUAUUUCGUUUUACUUGAAAGUUAGAGGUCUUACGUUCGAUUCGUUCGAAUAUCGUGGAUGGUGAAUUCAAUAUCAAAUUGGAUUACCCAUUAUGUAACUUUGCCAAACUCCACCUCCUAUUAUUGUCAAAAUAUCGAUGUAGUAAAAAAAAAUUUUAAACCUAUCAUUAUCACCAUCAACCUUAUUAUUUGACAAACUAUUGUAUUUUGUUUUUUUUUUUAAUAAUUUUGAAAUUAAUUUUGUACAAUCUAUCUUAUUUUUAUGUGUACAUACAUUUUGAUGUAAAUAAUUCAUUUCAUGCAAAGAGGAUCUGCAUGAGAAGAAGAGCCGUAUAGAAUUGUAAAGAGAGAGAGCCUGCGAGUGAGCUUUGAGGGUACACUUCGAGGCCCAACUUUUUUUUUCCAAUCCUUGUUCAGUUGAAAUUUACCUAUUUAUUUGACUGUUAAAAAUAGAAUUGAAUAGACAAGAAUUAGUUAAGCUUUGUAAGACAAGACAUUAAUGCAUGUCUAACGAGCGGCUAUAUAACUCACGUUUUUGUGAAUUUAUAAUCCAUCAUAUUUAGCUCAUAUAUUUUUUUUACAACUCAAGUCUAUUUUAAUUAAUCACAACCUAUCCUAACCAAUCCACCAAACAUACCCAAUGCCCACACACCCUAUUAAAUUAAAUGUUAAACUAGUCACCGAUGAAAUUUAAAUAUAAAGACUCAGCAUCUUUCCAACACUAUAAUACAAGACCACUUGCUAAAAUAACAUUAAAAAACAAUUUGUACAAGACCACUUGCUAGAAUAACAUUAAAAAACAAUUUGUUUUGAAUGUAAAGACUCAAAAUCUUUCCACCACGGUAAUACAAGACCACUUGCUAGAACAACAUUAAAAAACAAUUUGUUGUAAAUGGUGAGACGGAUACCAAUUUAUUUUUCCAAUUUGCUGUAAAAUAUAAUUUUGCAUUAAAAAAAGGGUAAAUUACAUAGUAACCCCUCAGAUUUGAGGUCUAUUACAACCUCAUACAACAUCUUUAAAACAUUUCACUUUCAUACUUCACGUACUAUUUUAUUACAAUCUCAUACAAUCUCUUUAAAACAUUUCACUUUCAUACCUUAUGUAUUAUUUUAUUUCAACAUAAUACCUCUGUUAGAUUUUUCAUCCAUUAAUCCGUUAAAUCCUGACGUGGCUGCCACAUUUGUGCUGAUGUGGCUGCCAUGUGGCAAUUUUUUUUUUUUUUUUAUAUGUACAUUAAAAAUAUUAUAAUAUUAACCCUAUUAAAAAAAAAGAAACUCAAACCCAAAAAUCCUUCCCCGCAACACCACAUCCCACCCCCACCCCUUACCCAUCUCUUCCUUCCCGUCCCUCCAUCCCCUCCACCCGAGCACCCCUCAGCUCGGGUCCCACCUUGACCUCUCUCUCUCUCUCCCCCUCCCUCUCUCUCUCUUCUGUAAAAUGUGGAAUGGUUUUUGAGGUCUAGUGCCUCGCCUCCCUCCCUCCUCCUGGACCCUUCCAACCUCGACCUCUCCUGCCUCGCCUCCCUCAACCUCCUGUCAUGUAUAUUAUAAUAUUAUAAUAUUUUUAAUGUAUAAAAAAUUAUUAUUUUUACCACAUGGCAGCCACAGCAGCACAAAUGGGCUGUCAUGUCAACAUUUAACGGAUUAAUAGAUGAAAAAUCUAACCGAUGUAUUAUGUUGAAAUAAAAUAAUACAUGGAGGUAUGAAAGUGAAAUAUUUUAAAAAGAUUGUAUGAGAUUGUAAUAAAUUUCAAACCUGAGGUGUUACCAUAUAAUUUACCCAAAAAAACCAAAACAACAAAACAGACAGCAAAAAGGUAAACAGAAUGCAUACCGAAAAAUCACCAAACAACAUCAAAUCAUAUAACGAAAAAUUCAUAGCAAAUCUGGAUGGAUUCGAACCACCAACCUCUCAAAAGCCCAGUCAAGGACCUUGAGCGCUCUACCAUUUUUGAGCUUACAGAUCUUCAUUUCAAGCAACGAGCAGGAGGCCGAAAUCGAUCAACAAAGUUUAACUUCUGAAUUUUCCAGCUUAAUUCUUUUCAGUAAGAAAUUUACAGUACAAGCAACUACUUGUCGACUUACGUUAUGUACAUAUGGUACAUCUAUUUAAAUGGGGGUAGUAGUCUACCAAAAAAAAAAAUCUAAGUUAAGCCCCGCAAUAAACCAACAAUAAUGUUGAGCCUUUGCAUAAUGAUGUUAGUUCAAAUCCCACAGUAAUCAACUUGGAGUCAAUUUAAGGCAAUUUAAGGCAAUUCAAGGCAAGCAUCCUUCCAUGAUGAAAAAAUGUUGAGCCUUUACAUAAUGAUGUUAGUUCAAAUCCCGUCGGUGACCAACCUAAAAUUUAAUCUUACAAAAUCUAUUACUUGACCAAAAUAAAAUAUAAUUUUAAGGUCCCCCAAAAAUUUAGGGCAUCCCUUUUCUCGUCUGAUAUAUAGAUCCAAAAAUUAACUUCUCCGAAGGCAUAAAAAAUACAAGUGUUCUAAGCAGAGCAACUAUUCCCCUCAAAAUUAACUUCUCCGAGGGCAUAAAAAAACAAGUGUUCCAAGCAAAGCAACUAUUCCCCAGCCCAAAAACAAAUUAUGCUGUUUCAAUUUUACAAUUAACUUGCAGUAACAAAUGAUUCCUGCAAAUUUUUAGCUUUAAGAUUUAUUUGGAUUUACUUUUAAAAUGAUUGAAAAAUGACUAAGAAUUGGUUCUAAAAAAUGACUAAAAAUACUUUCAGAAAAAAUAUUUUUUUGUUCCAAAAACACUUGAAAUACUUUCCGGAACAAGCACAUAUUGUGCUUCUUACAGGAAGCAAUUUAAAUGUAAAUGUUUUUUUUUCAGAAUUUACUUACAUUUUUACUACGAAUUGGUUACAAAAACAUUUUCACCAAAAACGCUUUCAAUCAUUUUAAAACCACAUCCAAACGAGCUUAGUUAAAGAGGUUGCAUCAUAUAAAGGAAGACAUCAUGAACUAAACGCCACCUUCUGUAAGUAAUAGUAAAUAGAAACUACAUAAUACAAACAUUGAACAACUACGCGGAGCUGUUUGAAAAAUAACCAAAAUCAUAACCCCUAAUUGUGAAUCGGGCAAUAUCAACAGACCACAAUUUGAUCUAUCAUCCAAGUACUAUAAAAACAACCCCAGUUUAACGAUAAUUCCUCCGCAAUUCCAUACAAACAACAAAACCAAGGGAAUAUAUUCAAUCUAAACUCUUUUAACAAAUGAAUAGAAUAAAUAAAUGAUAAUGCCAACACCUAUGAAUGAUCAAUCGCAAUGACUUGAAUCACAAAACGUAAAUUAACCGAAAACAUUACUUGCCAAUACUUCAAAAGCUUCUUGUAAAUUAACAGAAAACAUUACUUGCCAAUACUUAAAAGCUUUAGUUUCAUUGGUCACCUCAAAUCCUCAGAAAAGAGGUUGUCACGAAAAGAACUUCUGGACCUAUCCCACAACCAAGCAGCUUGUAUUUGAGCCGAAAUUUAGUUUAACUUGUAAUUGUGAUGAGAGGCUUCGUUCUGGCCAUUCGGGCUCGUCGAGCAGUAAUCUUCCGGCAUCAAAUCUCCCUAGAAUCAUCUAAUUGGAAUACAAUGCAUGGCUUACAGCAAUGGAAUCCAAAACCAACAUAAUUACAUAAUAUUACAAAGAUCCAUCAACUAACAGAUCUCACAAUAUCUAAUAACAUCCGUUAUAAACAAAUAUUAAGGCAAAGGCCAACAAUUUAGAUGAUAAUCUCAUCCUCAGCUCAUAGAAUUUGUACUACCAUAACAUUAAUAACGAGGCAAUAAACAGUGCAGAAGAGACUUUGGUAUCAUAAGAAUGACUUGUAAAAGUAAGCAGGAACGAAUCGGAGGUUUCGAGAAUUGUUUAGAAGGAUGAUAUAAGUACGUUUGUGCAUAAGUAGACAGAGAAAUUACCAACUAUAUCAAACAAAGUUUUGAUUCCAAAUUAUUUCUGUCCUUUCUUAUUCCAAACAAAGUUUUGAUUCCAAAUUAUUCCAAAUCGUUUGUGCAUAAGUAGACGGAGAAAUUACCAACUAUAUCAAACAAAUUAUUCCACGAUACAAUAAAUUUGCUUACUUUGAAGUCAAAAUGAUUGAAAACAAUUUGGAAUAAUUUGAGGUUGAUUGAACAACUCCACAGAUUGUAAGCAUUAUCAAUCAAUUACCAAGUUCCAAUUAACAUAUUUUAUAUUGUGCUUACAAAAUUAGAUAAAACUCAUUGAUUGAGACAAUUUGAGCAAGAAACUAAUUAAUUGAUUGUGCAAGUGAUUAUAUGUUCCCUGUGUGAGUGGCAGGCUUUAUUUAGCUUUAUUAGAUUGAUGAAAUCAAUUGAAAUAGAUUUAGAUAGAUUAAUACCUUUGACGACGAGAUAUCGAUGCGGCCGCAGUUGUCCAGAAUCCAUGUCCGACUGUUUGCGAUUGGGGGCGAGCAAAAAUAAGAGAC
rnacentral:lncRNA from 1 species